GCGCGUAAAAGUACCACCGGUACUUGGUAACAUAAAGACCCAAGAGAGAGUGGGCUACCCAGAGUCUGAUAGCCCAAAAAGAGAGUGGGCAAUCGGACUAAGGAAGGUGGGUACCGUGCGUAAAAGUACCACCGGUACUUGGUAACAUAAAGACCCAAGAGAGAGUGGGCUACCCAGAGUCUGAUAGCCCAAAAAGAGAGUGGGCAAUCGGACUAAGGAAGGUGGGUACCGUGCGUAAAAGUACCACCGGUACUUGGUAACAUAAAGACCCAAGAGAGAGUGGGCUACCCAUAGUCUGAUAGCCCAAAAAGAGAGUGGGCAAUCGGACUAAGGAAGGUGGGUACCAGGGCAGAAAAGUACCACCGGCCCAGUGUGGACUUAUGCUCUGGCUGGAAAGCGGCCGGGUGACCAGGUGCACAUGGGCCUUUUUAGGUGACCAGGUGCACACCGUUCAUUUUGGGUGACCAGGUGCACAACAUCCAUUUCGGGUGACCAGGUGCACACCGUUCAUUUUGGGUGACCAGGUGCACAUGGGCCUUUUUGGGUGACCAGGU